rnacentral:rRNA from 1 species
GGGUCAGUAGGUUGGUCGUGCCACCGGUACGUACUGGUCUCACUGAUUCCCCCUUCCUGAAGAACCGUAAUGCCAUUAAUUUGGUGUUGCGGGGAAACAGGACUGUUACUUUGAAAAAAUUAGAGUGUUUAAAGCAAGCUAACGCUUGAAUACAUUAGCAUGGAAUAAUGAAAUAGGACGAUCGAUCCUAUUUUGUUGGUUUCCAGGAUUGACGUA